rnacentral:rRNA from 1 species
GACGAACGCUGGCGGCGUGCUUAACACAUGCAAGUCGAACGGAAAGGCCCGGCUUUUGUGGGGUGCUCGAGUGGCGAACGGGUGAGUAACACGUGAGUAACCUGCCCCUGACUUUGGGAUAACUUCAGGAAACUGGGGCUAAUACCGGAUAGGAGCUCCUGCUGCAUGGUGGGGGUUGGAAAGUUUCGGCGGUUGGGGAUGGACUCGCGGCUUAUCAGCUUGUUGGUGGGGUAGUGGCUUACCAAGGCUAUGACGGGUAGCCGGCCUGAGAGGGUGACCGGCCACAUUGGGACUGAGAUACGGCCCAGACUCCUACGGGAGGCAGCAGUGGGGAAUAUUGCACAAUGGGCGGAAGCCUGAUGCAGCAACGCCGCGUGCGGGAUGACGGCCUUCGGGUUGUAAACCGCUUUCGCCUGUGACGAAGCGUGAGUGACGGUAAUGGGUAAAGAAGCACCGGCUAACUACGUG